rnacentral:rRNA from 1 species
AACGAACGCUGGCGGCAUGCCUAACACAUGCAAGUCGAACGAGACCUUCGGGUUUAGUGGCGCACGGGUGCGUAAGGCGUGGGAAACUGCACUUAGGUUCGGCAUAACUUCCCGGAUAGGGUGCUAAUACCGGAUAAUGUAUUCCGACCAAAGAUUUAUUGCCUUUGGAUGGGCGCGCGUCGGAUUAGCGAGUUGGUAGGGUAAAAGCCUACCACGGCGUGGAUCCAGAGCUGGUCGGCGAGGAUGAUCAGCCACACUGGGCCUGAGACACGGCCCAGAAUCCGACGGGAGGGAGCAGAGGGUAAUAUAGGACAGGGGGCGAAGGCCUGAUCCAGCAAUGCCGGGGAAGUGAUGAAGGCCGUAGGGUUGUAAAGCUCUUUUACCCGGGAGGAUAAUGACAGUACCGGGAGAAUAAGCACCGGCUAACUCCGUG